GAUGAACGCUGGCGGCGUGCCUAAUACAUGCAAGUCGAACGGACAGACGAGGCGCUUGCUGGUUGCACGUUUGCGGCGGACGUGUGAGUCACACGUGGAUCACCUACCUAUAAGACUGGUAACACUACGAGAAACCGGCGAUAAUAGCGGAUAAUCUAUUGAACCACAUGGGGCGAUAGUGAAAGACGGUUUUGCGGUAAGUAAUCGCUGGAUACGCGCCGCAUUAGCUAGUUGGUACGGUAACGGCUUACCAAGGCAACGAUGCGUAGCCGACCUGAGAGGGGGAUCGGCCACACUGGAACUGAGACACGGUCCAGACUCCUACGGGAGGCAGCAGUCGGGAAUCUUCGGCAAUGGGCGAAAACCUGACGGAGCAACGCCGCGUGAGUGAUGAAGGUCUUCGGAUCGUAAAACUCUGUUAUUAGGGAAGAACAAAUGUGGAAGGAACCAUGCACGUCUUGACGGUACCGGAUCAGGAAGCAACGGCUAACUACGUG
rnacentral:rRNA from 1 species